CCCUUAGAUGUCCGGGGCUGCACGCGCGCUACACUGAAGGAAUCAGCGUGCUAAAACCAUUGUCGAAAGGCAUUGGUAAACCCAUUAAAAUCCUACGUGAUUGGGAUCGGGAAUUGCAAUUAUUUCCCUUGAACGAGGAAUUCCCAGUAAGUGUGGGUCAUAAGCUCGCGUUGAUUACGUCCCUGCCCUUUGUACACACCGCCCGUCGCUGCCCGGGACUGAGCCGUUUCGAGAAAAGCGGGGACUGCUGCUGUCGGGGCUUUCGGGCCUUGGCUUCGGUGGAAACCGCUUUAAUCGCAGUGGCUUGUACCGGGCAAAAGUCGUAACA
rnacentral:rRNA from 1 species